UCUCUGGCUCCACAUAUGCCUUCUGAGUAUCAAGCAAAGCUCUUACUCUGUCAAGGAGAAAGGGCCAGAUGCUCAGAGCUGAAGCGCUUUAACAGUUCAACCUCCUGGAAAAGUGUGAGAGCUGCCAGCAGACUCAAGCCUCUGUGGCCCUUACAGGGAAGCCAACCUUAGGCCCAGAAGAUGUUUUCUCAUGAGUAGAGCCAGGUUAUGCCUUUUUGCCAAGAAUGCCACAGAAGAAAUGUGCCCACAGCACGCCACACCCAUCUGCAGUUUUAUCGUCUGUUUAGUCAAGCUCCGGCUGGAUAGAGCAAAACUGGGAGUGGUUUGGCAAGAUCCAAGGCUACGUCCAAGUAGAGAAAAACAUCAACUUAAGAUAAGAACCUGAGUGGUGGAAGUGCACCCAAGUGGAAAGGACCAUACACAGAUCCACUGACAUGUCCUCUCUCUUAUCUACCUGCCAUCCCUUGAGGCUCAGCAUUAUCUUAGCUUCCCAGAAGAGGAAAAAGAAGUACAGAGAUGGAAAAGGAUGCACAGAUCUCAACCCAAAGGAAGGACAGCGUGUUCCAGCUGAAUCUGAGAUGAGCAAACACGUUGCAGGCAAGCAAAGCUAACAGCUGGGUCUGCCAUCUGACUGAAGACGAGGCUGAGACGAGGAAUCCCACAUUCAGCUGCUGGGUAAAACCUACAGGGACAUCUGACCAAGGGCACCAGGUCUUCAGGAAAAGAACAUGGACCCCCUCCUCUUUCUGUUCUCGAUGAGAACAAUGAUUUUCAGCAGUCAAGCCUUGCAGAGAUGUGCCUUCCAGAGAGAAACAGAAAAUACAUUUGCUGAGCUCCCUGGUAACCCCAGCUGCCCCUCCUAGCACAGUUUAUCCUUUCAAAUCAUUUGGUCCACGUGCACCCUCAGCAGCACACGCCUCCACUGAGAAUCAGGGAACACUGCACUGGGGUGUUGUAGAACAGUCUGCUCUCGACUGAGAACAGAGUACACUGAAACCUGAUGGUUGAAAAUGGAAAAGGCUACCAGUCACACAGCCACAGGGGAUUGAUUGAAUUGGGAAUAAAAUAAAAUAUUUUAAAACUUUCCUGCCUUGGCUUUCAGCUGACAUCUUACCACCCACUAAGCGAUGGUUUGCAGAAAAACAAAGCACGCUGUUCAGGAAACUGUGAGGUAGGGAAUCUACAAUGGAUUCAUAUGGCCUUGCUGUUGCCCCACACAGCCCAGCUGAGCAGAUGAAGAGCUUCAAACUGUUACUCCUUGGGAAGUGCGUGUGCGUGUGUGUGUGUGUGUGUGUUCGUGCACACAUCCAGAACACAAGACUGAACGUUAAGACAGUUCUUAUUCCGUAGCACAUUUUUAAUGACAGGAAUUAAAAAAUGCCCACUAACAAUGGAUUUUUCCAAAGGCUCAUAACAAACCCUGACUCUCACUGCUGUACACUUGCAACCUUGAAACAUAGUGAUUAUGUGUUAUUUCUAACUCUCAGCAAUUAAUAUGCAACCAGAUGUAUCAUUAUC